UACGUAGGGGGCUAGCGUUGCUCGGAAUCACUGGGCGUAAAGGGUGCGUAGGCGGGUCUUUUAAGUCAGGGGUGAAAUCCUGGAGCUCAACUCCAGAACUGCCUUUGAUACUGACGAUCUCGAGUCCGGGAGAGGUGAGUGGAACUGCGAGUGUAGAGGUGAAAUUCGUAGAUAUUCGCAAGAACACCAGUGGCGAAGGCGGACUCGAC
rnacentral:rRNA from 1 species